CCAAAGUGAAACUUUGGUAAUAAAACAUGGCCCAAAGUGCAAUUCACUCAUUUUUUUAUAAUUAGUAUUUUUAUUAUUAUUAGAUGAUAAAACAUGAUUAAUAUUUUAUGCGUGACUUGUCUUUUUAAUUUUAUUCAUAAUUUUUUCAAAUAAGACGAACAGUUAAACGUUGGACACGGAAACCCAGGGUUUGUCUUUUU
rnacentral:pre_miRNA from 1 species